CCCUCACAGAGUUAUCUAAUCCUGCGGCAAGCCACACCUAAGCUAGCAUUUGGGUCCCCAUCAUACAGUCAACUGUCACCAGCUCUUGGUUACCCUUUCCAUGAGCCCUUGCUUUGAUCUGAGGAGUCCCUGCUCAGGACCUUGUUUGAGCCCAGUAUCUAUCGAAUAGAUUCUCAGAUGGACAAUGUGGCUGGGUCUCACCUAACACCCCCACAGUCCAUCCAUCCCUGUUCUCUGGCUGCCUGUGGGAACAGACCUACUGGGGGGAAUGGUAUAUGGUUUCACUUUUAUGCUUUUAUAGUUUUCAAACAAGAACACAAAAAGAGGAAAAUUGAAACCACCCAGGGAAGCAGCAGGGCCCCAUUUUGUCGACAGUCUGAUGUGUUUACUGGACAUCAGCACAGAGGGCCUGUCCUAUUUACUUUUAAGGCCCUGCCUUAUGAAUCCAUUGGGUAGUUUGGUGGCAAGAUGCAGCCUAUUAUCAAGAAAAUAGCUGAACAGUGCCAUGUCGUCCUUGCCCGGCCAGCAUGCCACUCACAGCGUCUGAAAUCACUUGUUUUCUGGCCAGCGUGAGCCAACUGGAGCUGUGGUUCUUCGUGUUGCUCUCCAAGACCCGAUGCCAAGUGCAUUUGAGAUACUUCAACAAUCGCCUCGGCAUGGCUGCGUGCCGCCAAUGCGUGUUUGCUGUAAUUACACAGCCUCCGAAGGAGGAGCACAAAAGACUUGUUGAUUUUGGAUGGGCUCAGGCCCCUAAGAGAUGAGAGCUGACCUGGGCUCCUGGCAUAAAGUUGUGGGCAGGCAGGCCCGCUGCCCUGGUGAGGACGUGACCAGCUGGAGCAAACCUUGAACCCGGGCCAUGUCCGCCAGAACUUGCCCGCUUGCCCAGUUCUCUUAGCUCUCCUGCCAGCUGAAUGAAGAGCCGGUUUGCUUUUGGAGAAUAACCGGAGAGAAGGCAGAACUGGAUCCUAUAAAAAGCAGCUCCCUCCUUCCUCCAGCCAACAAGUCCCUGAAUGAUAAUCAUCUCUGAAAUUGGCCAACCUCCCUCCUUCCAGUCCCCCACUCCUCCUCUCCCUCCCUCCCUUCCCUCUUAAGUGGCUAAACAGGCUCAUUGUUUCUCUGGUCUUUGUAGGGUUCCUGAAAGGUUUCUCCUGGUGGCUAGGAGCUUCCGCCUAUCUGAACCUCACUUCCUGUUUGCCUCAGACACGUGACACUGGGUUCGCUAUGAUGUGCUGGAGAGAGUGAGACAGGUGGGGCAAGUGGGACUGGGUGUGGCAGCUCGGGUCCUGUGAGGGAAGGCUGUUGGAUGCCCAGAGCUGACUAUUUGAUGGAAUGAGGUGUCAAUCCCACAGCCCCACCCACCCAGCCUUUCCAGCCCAAACCCCUCCUAGAGAGCCCGAGGCCUUGGCACCUACUUUUAUGGGUAGCACAGAACACAAAUUGAAAACCAUGAGCUAUGAUCUUGACAGGCUCUUCCAGCCUUAGGUUAGGAAAAGAAUCCAAGCCGGCCGAGAUACAAAUGCUGAGGCUGUCGCGGACAACCUCAGUGGACCCGAUUCCUGCCCAGAGACCGGGGAUAAAUCCACUGGAAGAAGCCCCAACCCCAGGCCCAUGCAUCCGUCCAGAAGACCUCCCAGCUGCUUUCUGGACCCAAGAAGCUCCUUAUCCCAGCUCUAUGAGGAUCCAGAGACCCUAAAGGGAGCCUACCCCAGGCCGGGCCUUUCAGCUCAUGGACUCUGCUGCCACCAGAUCCUUGUACAGAGAAGCAACCAACUGACCUGCUCUGCCAUGCAGGGUGCAGAAGGCAGGCCUAGAGCUAUCAAAGCUGUGGUCUUGUUGUCCCUCGUCCUGACAAUCAUGAGGCUAUAACCCAGCUAUGGAAAUCUUCAUACCAUAGGGGGCCACUCAGGGUGGGAGGAAGCAAAGGUCGUUUAUUCUCUUUCUUCUGGAAACGAUGUAGUGCUUUCUGCUCCAGAACCACUAGUCCUCCCCACAGUUCUGUGGCAUGAAAAGUAAAGAUGUCUGGGCAGCUGACCAGGCAUGGGCAUUGUGGAA
rnacentral:sRNA from 1 species